rnacentral:tRNA from 1 species
AGUGUGAUGGCCAAGUGGUUAAGGCGUUCAAUCCAAUGGGGUUUCCCCAAGCAGGUUCAAACCCUGCUUGAAUGA